rnacentral:rRNA from 1 species
GGGGAAUUUUCCGCAAUGGGCGAAAGCCUGACGGAGCAACGCCGCGUGAGGGAGGAAGGUCUUUGGAUUGUAAACCUCUUUUCUCAAGGAAGAAGUUCUGACGGUACUUGAGGAAUCAGCCUCGGCUAACUCCGUGCCAGCAGCCGCGGUAAUACGGGGGAGGCAAGCGUUAUCCGGAAUUAUUGGGCGUAAAGCGUCCGCAGGUGGUCAGCCAAGUCUGCCGUCAAAUCAGGUUGCUUAACGACCUAAAGGCGGUGGAAACUGGCAGACUAGAGAGCAGUAGGGGUAGCAGGAAUUCCCAGCGUAGCGGUGAAAUGCGUAGAGAUUGGGAAGAACAUCGGUGGCGAAAGCGUGCUACUGGGCUGUAUCUGACACUCAGGGACGAAAGCUAGGGGAGCGAAAGGGAUUAGAUACCCCUGUAGUC